rnacentral:rRNA from 1 species
AUGGGCUGGGCCUGCUGGCCAUGCUACAAUAUACUACUACUAGUGCGCGGCCCCCUUCGGCUGGAAGAUAGAGACAGAGAGCACAAAGCGUCCUCUUCUUCUCGGCGGCGGCGGCGAAAGGCGAACGAGCGAGGAACCCUAACCCUAACCAGUUCCGAUCCGCAAGGCCUGCGUCGAUGGCGGCUUCCCUCCGCGCGGCGGCGACGAGGAUGCUGCGCCCGGCGGUGCUUCCAGGGGAGGGGCGUCGCCUGCUCGUCCACACCCAGCAGCUUUCCAAAUCAACCCGCGCCUACGAGGAAGGAACACCGUCCGCCUCUAAUUCAGCAGAGGGACCAGGUGUAUCUGGAGCUUUCGAAAUCCUUGAAGGAGAAACACCGUGCAGAGCUAGUUGAGCAGAAGAAGGAGGAACUGUACGAACUCCUCGCCAAUGCCCACGCCAAUUCUGCGGCCUCCUCGCUGGACAAGAAUCUGCUCAAGGAUCUCUCUACACAAAUCAAGCCUAGACUAGAGGACCCCCAAUGGUGCAAGAUAACUAGGAACAAGAAGGUGACUGAUUUGGCUGCGUCGGUGGUUAUUCUUGCUACUUCUGCUCUCACUUACUGUGUCUUGACAGCUGGUCCUGAAAUAGUAAAGUAUGAUGGACAUCUUGUUACUGUUGAGAGUCUGCCCAUUCUACAAGGACAUGAGCCUGCUGCUACUGCUAAGGGAGUUCACAAGCAAGAUGUGCAGAAGUGA